CCUACGGGAGGCAGCAGUGGGGAAUAUUGCGCAAUGGACGAAAGUCUGACGCAGCAACGCCGCGUGGGUGAUGAAGGUCUUCGGAUUGUAAAGCCCUGUCUUCGAGGACGAUAAUGACGGUACUCGAGGAGGAAGCCACGGCUAACUACGUGCCAGCAGCCGCGGUAAU
rnacentral:rRNA from 1 species